UACGGGGGGUGCAAGCGUUGUUCGGAAUUACUGGGCGUAAAGGGCUCGUAGGCGGCCAACUAAGUCAUACGUGAAAUCCCUCAGCUUAACUGGGGAACUGCGUCUGAGACUGGAAGGCUUGAGUGCAGGAGAGGAACGCGGAAUUCCAGGUGUAGCGGUGAAAUGCGUAGAUAUCUGGAGGAACACCGGUGGCGAAGGCGGCGUUCUGGACUGCAACUGACACUGAGGAACGAAAGCCAGGGGAGCGAACAGG
rnacentral:rRNA from 1 species